rnacentral:tRNA from 1 species
UCCCUGUUGGUUCAGUGGUUAAGAUUCCACACUCCCAAUGCAGAGGGGUCAGGUUCGAUCCCUGAUCGGGGAG